rnacentral:rRNA from 1 species
AGAGUUUGAUCAUGGCUCAGGACGAACGCUGGCGGCGUGCUUAACACAUGCAAGUCGAACGAGAUCCAUCCGGUGGCAACACCGGAGAAGACCUAGUGGCGAACGGGUGAGUAACACGUGAGCAACCUGCCCCGAAGACCGGGAUAACAGCGGGAAACCGCUGCUAAUACCGGAUACCCCCAUCGGACCGCAUGGCCUGAUGAGGAAAUGGAUUCCGCUUCGGGAGGGACUCGCGGCCUAUCAGCUUGUUGGUGGGGUAACGGCCCACCAAGGCUACGACGGGUAGCUGGUCUGAGAGGACGAUCAGCCACACUGGGACUGAGACACGGCCCAGACUCCUACGGGAGGCAGCAGUGGGGAAUCUUGCGCAAUGGGCGAAAGCCUGACGCAGCAACGCCGCGUGAGGGAUGAAGGCCUUCGGGUUGUAAACCUCUUUCGAGCAGGGACGAUAAUGACGGUACCUGCAGAAGAAGCUCCGGCCAACUACGUGCCAGCAGCCGCGGUAAUACGUAGGGAGCGAGCGUUGUCCGGAUUCAUUGGGCGUAAAGAGCUCGUAGGCGGCUUGAUAAGUCGGAUGUGAAACCUCCAGGCUCAACCUGGAGUCGCCAUCCGAUACUGUCAUGGCUAGAGUCCGGUAGGGGCCCACGGAACUCCUGGUGUAGCGGUGAAAUGCGCAGAUAUCAGGAAGAACACCGGUGGCGAAGGCGGUGGGCUGGGCCGGCACUGACGCUGAGGAGCGAAAGCGUGGGGAGCGAACAGGAUUAGAUACCCCCGUAGUCC